rnacentral:rRNA from 1 species
GCAAUGCGAUUUACUUAUCAGAUCGCGACUGCUCGAUUCAGCGCCGCCAUCAAAAAGUGGUCGAAGAAGCGCCAGCACCGGGGUUAAGCGAUGCAUUGCGCGCCCAAAUGG